AACGGCCGUACCAUGCUGAAUAUACCGGUUCUCGUUAGAUCACCGAAGUCAAGCAUCAUUGGGCGUGGUCAGUACUUGGGAGGGUGACCACCUGGGAACACCGCGUGCCGUU